UUGAUACUCUCGGCUACAGAAUUCUCCACCCAGAUCAUCACAAGCCUCAGCGCAGAAAACCCUGCAUGUACGUAUGCGGAACAAGCGCAAACGAUAUGAAACCAUUGGUCAGAAAAAUGGUAGGAGUUAUUAUAUAUAAACUUGAACAGAGAU